CUUGUCAUUACAUGCCGUCGGGCGCCCGGUGCCACUGUUCGGCUCGGCACCGAGCGGAGGCAGUGCUUUUCAACACGUACCCUAGUCUUAUUAUACAAGCGGCAGUUGAUGUAUGUGUUGCGGCAGUUCCUAAUCAUUUACAACUGGCCACCUGCUUCACACCCCUUAGGAAAGAGGGGAAGGGGGGUUGGAGGGAUAGAGCUGCCGCCUUCCGCUUUGUUACCGCCGUCGUUUACCAUACCGCCUCAAACGUCCGGAUGCGGUGUUGCCCGAGUUUAAAGACGAUCUAGGCCAUCUAUCCAUUACAGACUUGACAUAUUUAAAGAAGUUAAGCUAGGCCUGUGCGGGUUCGUGUUUAUAUACAAACUGAGCAUAAGCUAAAGAAAUUAAGGGCGACUCUCUCCAGUAACGGCCACUACCCGUCGGUCUAGGUAAUCAAAACUACCGACAACCCGGAAACCGUGGCCGUUCUCGGCUGAGCAGCACGCGUCAAGACCACCCUCUUGAGCCGCCGUGACGACUCGUCUCGUUAAGCCGGGCCUUUUCCUUCGUCAGUGGUUGAGUUAGGCAGAGCAGGUGGCCCUACCACUUGGGUCUACGUGGUCCGAUCCGGACUUCCGUAUGUAUUGUUACUCACAGAAAAAGAGAUCUAGGUACCAAGACUAAAAAAUAACGGUUUCAGACACAGAUCACCCGUACUGAUGAUGACAGUUGUUCGACUAGGAUACUAAGACCAUUAUUUGGUACGCACGUUAAUCGUAUAUAUUAAGAGGGCCAAUCUGGUACAGUUGGUAGGCGCUUUAAUCUUAUGAAUCACAAGAUACCCGUAUCGUACGGUAGGUAUGUAUUUACUUUGUUUUUUUUGUGCCAUAACGAUAGCAUACUUUUCAUUGACGUAGUAGAACCUUUGACAAUAAAACUUAAAAAUAUUUUCCAGUCACUGACGAGAAGCUAAACAACUUAAACGGCGUCUAAGGUCAAGUCUCUCCAGUCACGUCUACAACUCGUCGCUCUAGAUAAGCGAAGCUACCAACAACCCGGUAGGUGUGGCUGUGUGCAGCUCAGUAGCACGCGCCAACACAAACCUGUUGAGCCGCCGUGACGACUCAUCACAUUUAGACGGCCGUUCUCCUUCCUCAGAGUUUGAGUCAGGCGGCUCAGGUGGCCCUUCCACUUGGGUCUGCGUGGUGCCACCUGGUCUCCCCCUUUGGACUUGUCGUCUUAUCGGCAAGAACAGUCACACUCACAGGACGUUACUAGUCUAACGAAUCUCGACGCUUGUUACCUACCAUGUAACUACUCAUGGUGAGGUCGGUGUUGGUAAGUAACAGAGACUGGACACCACUUUUUCAAGUAACCGAUAGCGUAUUCGUCACAUGUGCUUCCUAAACCACUUGACAACAUCACCCCGUGGAACCGCCGCGACGACUGGUUGCACUGUGUACGUUGUUCUCCUUCCUCAGAGGCUGUGUUAGGUACCUUAGGUGGCCCUUUCACUUGGGUCUCCGGGGACCCACCUAAUCCUCUGAUUUUUCUUUGCCUCCCUCAUAAAAGCAUACCUCCAUCAUCAACAUUUUACGUUACGACUAGGCAAACAGCGUCUUUCGUACCAGACAAGAGACCACCCAACACAGUGACUAGUCAUUUUACCCCCAAAGGUACUAUUUUUUUUUCCACAACGAUAUUUAACUCUACAGCAGAUGUUUUGAACCCUAUAAAAAGGGAACGUCCAACUCUCAACCGGCACGUGGACGAGUGUCUAUUGGUACGGGACCCCCUCAAUGAGGUAACCUUCUUUGUUAGUCCUCCAUGCGACUAUUUAGGAGUCUGUCACACCAGUGCGGUCUUUAACCUUACUCAAAACUGAGAGAGUCCCUUCAUAUGCUAAAGACGUUGGAAAUUAAUAAACACCCUCGAGCUUAAACCAUAUUCUAUCCGUUCUCGGUAGACUUACAGCUCGUCUGUUUCACAUACAUCCUUUAAUACACACCUACGAACCAGUCAUGUAUACUGAGUUGUGAGGUUCUUGAAUGUAAAUAAAAUUAGACGAACUAGUAACCGAUACGCAGACAGAAUUGACGUCGACCAUUUAAGGACAAAAUCUCCCCUUCGGACUCGUCGUUUUGUCGGUCAUGAUGGUCACGCUUACGGGACGCUACUAAUCCGAAGACUCUCCUAGACUGUUACCUACCAAGUAACGACUCGUGGCCCGAUCGGUAUUGGUAAUUAACAGUGACUGAACACCACUUUUCCAAGUGACAGGUAACGUGUUGGUGUAUCUACAGAUGUGUUUUCUAGAUCACUUCGUUGAAUCCCCUUUAUUGCACUUAGAGUUGUUCCACAUGUUGUAUCAUCCUUCGAAGAAACCAAGUAGAGACUUACACGGAAAGUGCUUCUACAGUGAGGUCUUGGAAAGAUGUGUUGUAUCAUCCUUCGAAGGAGCCAAGUAGAGUCUUAGACGGAAAGUGUUUCUCCAGUGAUGACUAAGUACACAAACACGCUGUCAUGUACUCCGAUGUUAAGCUGGCACUCAGCCUACUCUCGAUGGCCCUCUUCUCCUAUGUCUAAUCGCCUCGUCAGUACUCUCCUUCAUAACGGUAACUUGUUGUACGUUUAUUCCAAAUGUGGUCCUUUUACAAACUUGUUAAACCACUCUUGGAAAAGUUCCCAGCCCGCAUGGUCCAACUCCUUUAACACUUCGUGUAACGUUCUGUGUUGCUACGGCUCUUUACACUCUUCACCUCUCACCAACUAAUGUUCCACUGGUACAACCUACUGCCGCUCACCAAGCUCACACUUACGCCCGUUAAGUGGGUGUACCCCUACCAAACAACGGUACGAAACUUCCACUACCCGAUACAACAGCACUUCCUCUACGACUUCGCCGUGUAGGAGUUCUCUACCUGCUUUCUACGAUCCCUGUAGGACGGGGCCGUAGAACGAGUGAAGUUUUCUUUGGUCCAGCACUUGUUUAGAAAGUGGACGGCGUCGAGCUGAGAGAUGGAUGUGCGGUACCUCGACCAAUCCGAACCCCUAAGUAGGCAGUACUGUAUACUUGAGCAUGACCCAGCGAGCUUCCUAUACUAACGCCUCCAUUAGUGGCGAUCGACUUUGUUCUCUACCCUAUCCCAAACUCCUAUCUGUUCGUCGUCUUCGCUUAGUGUUGUUGUAACGUAACCGUCCGCGUUAACAGUCGUUACUCUCCCCCCCGACUGUUGUUCUUGUCAGACUGGGAAAGACAAUUGACCCUACUUGUACGACCUGACAGACGAGGCUCGUUCUUUACACCACGGUCCGCUGGUACGUAGUCAUCGUUUUUCCAUGGCAUACUUCCUGAUUCAUUUUCCUGUUUCAAGACGUCGUAAACGUUUAACGGUACUGUACUCUUCUGAUGGACGGGACUGUCCCCAAUGUACGGUUUUGUCGCAGCGUUUGGACGUUGGACGUUCUUAACACCGUAGCGGCCUGUUGGACGUUCUUAACAGCGUAGCGGCCUGAGGCAGUGUGAAGUACGUGGUCCGGCACCCGCGACGACGAAGAAUUAUUGAAUCUCUUUGUACAUACUAUGAAGGAGACAUUUGAUUAUAUUCUCGCAAAUCUAGUGAUAAAAUCACAAUAUUUACGAGAAUAUAAUCAAAUACCUCCCUCAUUGAGACUUAAAAUGCAAAACUCUUAAAAGAUCACACACUAAAGACGUACCUGGGGGUGCGAACAAGGAGGGACUCACAUUUGAUCGACAUAAACAUUGACACGACUUUACACACCUAAAUAUUAUAAACAAAUAAACAAAAGACAU
rnacentral:rRNA from 1 species